GAUCCUGGCUCAGGAUGAACGCUGGCGGCGUGCCUAAUACAUGCAAGUCGAACGAAGCACCUCGGUGCUUAGUGGCGAACGGGUGAGUAACACGUGGGUAACCUGCCCUCAAGACGAGGAUAACCGUUGGAAACGAUGGCUAAGACUGGAUGGGAAUACGGGAGGCAUCUUCUGUAUUUUUAAAAGACCUGGCAACAGGUAUGCUUGAGGAGGGGCCUGCGGCGCAUUAGUUAGUUGGUGAGGUGAUGGCUCACCAAGACGAUGAUGCGUAGCCGGACUGAGAGGUUGAACGGCCACAUUGGGACUGAGAGACGGCCCAAACUCCUACGGGAGGCAGCAGUAGGGAAUUUUCGGCAAUGGGGGAAACCCUGAACCCGAGCAACGCCGCGUGAACGACGAAGUACUUCGGUAUGUAAAGUUCUUUUAAGAGGGAAGAAUGGCCCGUGGAAAAGCGGGCGUGACGGUACCUUUUGAAUAAGCCCCGGCUAACUAUGUGCCAGCAGCCGC
rnacentral:rRNA from 1 species